rnacentral:rRNA from 1 species
GGUCAAUAGCCUAACGGCUGAACCAGCAACUUGGAAGAAUGUAAUGGGCCUGAAAACCAUGUGUAUUAAUUACGGAGUAACUCUGUUACAUAAAGUUCAGGAUAGAUGUAUGAUAAUGACAUUAUUUAUCCUUAAGUCUUGACCAAGUCACGUGCCAGCAGUCGCGGUAACACGUGGAAGACAAGUGUUAUUCAUCUUUAUUGGGUUUAAAGGGUACCUAGACAGUUAAUCAAGCCUAAAUCAGGGACUAGUUAGCUAGAGUUUUAUGAGAGAAGGCUAGAACAGUGAGUGGAGAGAUGAAAUUCUUUGAUACCAUUUAGAUACUGACAACGGCGAAGGCAACCUUUUAUGUAAAAACUGACGUUGAGGGACGAAGGCUCAUGUAAGUAACGGGAUUAGGUACCCCAGUACUCCGAGCAGACAAUGAUGAGUGUCAUAUAUAAGUAGAUAUUAUACAUUAUCAUAUAUCAUAUUAUUAUUUAUGUAUAAAUGAAAGUGUAAGCACUCCACCUUAAGAGUAACAUGGCAACAUAGGAACUGAAAUCAUUAGAUCGUUUCUGAAACCAGUAGUGAAGUAUGUUGUUUAAUUUGAUGAUCCACAAAGAACCUUACCAUAAUUUGAAUAGAUUUCUUACAUAAGGAAUUUACAGGAGUUGCACGGCUGUCUUCGAGUUGAUAUCGUGAGAUUUUGGUUAGCUCCDAUUUAAUCAAACGUAAACCCUUACUUUAUUUUCUAUAAUAAAAAGUAAGUUCACCGCUACAUUGGUACAGAUAACA